GUGAGCAACCUGCCCCUGACUCUGGGAUAAGCGCUGGAAACGGCGUCUAAUACUGGAUACGAGACGUGAUCGCAUGGUCAACGUCUGGAAAGAAUUUCGGUUGGGGAUGGGCUCGCGGCCUAUCAGCUUGUUGGUGAGGUAAUGGCUCACCAAGGCGUCGACGGGUAGCCGGCCUGAGAGGGUGACCGGCCACACUGGGACUGAGACACGGCCCAGACUCCUACGGGAGGCAGCAGUGGGGAAUAUUGCACAAUGGGCGCAAGCCUGAUGCAGCAACGCCGCGUGAGGGAUGACGGCCUUCGGGUUGUAAACCUCUUUUAGCAGGGAAGAAGCGAAAGUGACGGUACCUGCAGAAAAAGUGUUUUUCUAACUACGUGCCAGCAGCCGCGGUAAUACGUAGGGCGCAAGCGUUAUCCGGAAUUAUUGGGCGUAAAGAGCUCGUAGGCGGUUUGUCGCGUCUGCUGUGAAAUCCGGAGGCUCAACCUCCGGCCUGCAGUGGGUACGGGCAGACUAGAGUGCGGUAGGGGAGAUUGGAAUUCCUGGUGUAGCGGUGGAAUGCGCAGAU
rnacentral:rRNA from 1 species